GCCAGGGUAGCUCAGUCGGUAAAGCACGAGACUCUUAGUCUCAGCAUUGUGGGCUUGAGCCCCACUUUGGGCA